GGGCAUGCGGCGCAUUAGUUAGUCGGCGGGGUAACGGCCCACCGAGGCGACGAUGCGUAGGGGUUCUGAGAGGAAGGCCCCCCACACUGGUACUGAGACACGGACCAGACUCCUACGGGAGGCAGCAGUGACGAAUAUUGGUCAAUGGGCGGAAGCCUGAACCAGCCAAGUCGCGUGAGGGAAGACGGUCCUAUGGAUUGUAAACCUCUUUUGCAGGGGAGCAAGGCGCGGUACGUGUACCGCGAAGGAGAGUACCCUGAGAAAAAGCAUCGGCUAACUCCGUGCCAGCAGCCGCGGUAAUACGGAGGAUGCGAGCGUUAUCCGGAUUUAUUGGGUUUAAAGGGUGCGCAGGCGGACUGUUAAGUCAGCGGUAAAAUGUCGGUGCUCAACACCGGCCGGCCGUUGAAACUGGCAGCCUUGAGUGAGCGAGAAGUAUGCGGAAUGCGUGGUGUAGCGGUGAAAUGCAUAGAUAUCACGCAGAACUCCGAUUGCGAAGGCAGCAUACCGGCGCUCAACUGACGCUCAGGCACGAAAGCGUGGGUAU
rnacentral:rRNA from 1 species